rnacentral:lncRNA from 1 species
AGGGAGAAAAAGUCCUUGCAGAGCGCAGGCCUGUGGCCUCUGCACCAGAGUCCAACCAGAGAAAGCAGAAGGUUUGUGAUAAACGAAUGCAAAGAAAGAGUGCCCGCAGAGGAGAAACCCAGAGGAAAAUGCUACAUGCCACAGAUGUUCCCCAUAGAAAGAUGUCAAACCUGAAAUGGCAGUGCUAGCAAUCAAAGACAUUGUACAACGGAGAAUGCAAAAUGCAACAAAUCGCCAUCUACCAGCAGUAAAUUCCAUCUGAUUGCUGUGCACAACCCGCUCCCUCCCAAACUGCCAUAUCUUAAAAGAUGUGACAUCGUCGUAUCAUAGGCGACCCAGUUUCCUGUGAGCUGAGUGCUGGACCCUCUGCCAGCCUGGGCCAUCUGAAAGGCACACAUCUGAGAAAAGCAGGUGAUUCAGCCUACCAUCGCCAUAAAAUAAGUACUAAUCCACAAAAAUUAAACCUGAUUGUGU